rnacentral:rRNA from 1 species
AGAGUUUGAUCCUGGCUCAGAACGAACGCUGGCGGCAGGCUUAACACAUGCAAGUCGAACGCACCGCAAGGUGAGUGGCAGACGGGUGAGUAACGCGUGGGAACGUGCCCUUCAGUUCGGAAUAACCCAGGGAAACUUGGGCUAAUACCGGAUACGUGCGAGAGCAGAAAGAUUUAUCGCUGAAGGAUCGGCCCGCGUCUGAUUAGCUGGUUGGUAGGGUAAUGGCCUACCAAGGCGACGAUCAGUAGCUGGUCUGAGAGGAUGAUCAGCCACAUUGGGACUGAGACACGGCCCAAACUCCUACGGGAGGCAGCAGUGGGGAAUAUUGGACAAUGGGCGCAAGCCUGAUCCAGCCAUGCCGCGUGAGUGAUGAAGGCCUUAGGGUUGUAAAGCUCUUUCGUCCGGGACGAUAAUGACGGUACCGGAAGAAGAAGCCCCGGCUAACUUCGUGCCAGCAGCCGCGGUAAUACGAAGGGGGCUAGCGUUGUUCGGAAUCACUGGGCGUAAAGGGCGCGUAGGCGGCCUGAUAAGUCGGGGGUGAAAGCCUGUGGCUCAACCACAGAAUUGCCUUCGAUACUGUUGGGCUUGAGACCGGAAGAGGUAAGUGGAACUGCGAGUGUAGAGGUGAAAUUCGUAGAUAUUCGCAAGAACACCAGUGGCGAAGGCGGCUUACUGGUCCGGUUCUGNNGCUGAGNNGCGAAAGCGUGGGGAGCAAACAGGAUUAGAUACCCUAGUAGUCC